GACGAACGCUGGCGGCGUGCUUAACACAUGCAAGUCGAACGGAAAGGCCCUGCUUUUGUGGGGUGCUCGAGUGGCGAAAGGGUGAGUAACACGUGAGUAACCUGCCCUUGACUUUGGGAUAACUUCAGGAAACUGGGGCUAAUACCGGAUAGGAGCUCCUGCUGCAUGGUGGGGGUUGGAAAGUUUCGGCGGUUGGGGAUGGACUCGCGGCUUAUCAGCUUGUUGGUGGGGUAGUGGCUUACCAAGGCUUUGACGGGUAGCCGGCCUGAGAGGGUGACCGGCCACGUUGGGACUGAGAUACGGCCCAGACUCCUACGGGAGGCAGCAGUGGGGAAUAUUGCACAAUGGGCGGAAGCCUGAUGCAGCAACGCCGCGUGCGGGAUGACGGCCUUCGGGUUGUAAACCGCUUUCGCCUGUGACGAAGCGUGAGUGACGGUAAUGGGUAAAGAAGCACCGGCUAACUACGUG
rnacentral:rRNA from 1 species